rnacentral:rRNA from 1 species
AUGAACGCUGGCGGCGUGCCUAAUACAUGCAAGUCGAGCGAACGGACGAGAAGCUUGCUUCUCUGAUGUUAGCGGCGGACGGGUGAGUAACACGUGGAUAACCUACCUAUAAGACUGGGAUAACUUCGGGAAACCGGAGCUAAUACCGGAUAAUAUUUUGAACCGCAUGGUUCAAAAGUGAAGACGGUCUUGCUGUCACUUAUAGAUGGAUCCGCGCUGCAUUAGCUAGUUGGUAAGGUAACGGCUUACCAAGGCAACGAUGCAUAGCCGACCUGAGAGGGUGAUCGGCCACACUGGAACUGAGACACGGUCCAGACUCCUACGGGAGGCAGCAGUAGGGAAUCUUCCGCAAUGGGCGAAAGCCUGACGGAGCAACGCCGCGUGAGUGAUGAAGGUCUUCGGAUCGUAAAACUCUGUUAUUAGGGAAGAACAUAUGUGUAAGUAACUGUGCACAUCUUGACGGUACCUAAUCAGAAAGCCACGGCUAACUACGUG